AAUAAGGACAGUUUUACAUUAUUCGCGUUCAACGUUUGACUGGUCGUCUUAUUAGAAACUUUUUUAUGAUUAGUAUUUUUAUUACUAUUAGAUGAUAAAAUAUGAAUAGUACUUUAUGUGUGACUAAUUUUUUUAUAAAAUUUUUAAAUAAGACGGACGGUCAAACGUUGGACACGGAUAUCCACGACUGCACUUGUU
rfam:Oryza glumipatula chromosome 12, whole genome shotgun sequence.